UGUUGGAUCUUAGCUGCAGGAAGAAGGAGGGUAAAUAUGCAAUUGUCACUGACAGAUGGCAGAAAUUUAGUGAUGUGUAUCUGGAUGAGAAAGAUAUUAGAGUUUCUUGCGAGCUAUGCUGAUGAGUUCUUGGUCCAUGGUGUUGACGUGGAAGGAAAAAAUUAGGAAUUGAUGAAGAGCUUGUGGCUUUGCUU